rnacentral:rRNA from 1 species
UAGCCUAACGGCUGAACCAGCAACUUGGAGGAAUGUAUAGCAAUAGCUAGUUAUAUCGACUAUGUCGAGUAAAAUUCUAGGUGGAAUAUGAUGAUGACAUUAUCUACUUAGUCUUGACCAAAUUUCGUGCCAGCAGUCGCGGUAAUACGUAGAAGACGAGUGUUAUUCAUGUUUAAUUGGUUUAAAGGGUACUUAGACGGUAAAUUAAGCCACUAAUUUAUAGAGUUUUAUGUAAGGGAGUAUUAAAGUACUUGGAGAGAUGAAAUUCUGUUAUACCAGCACAGAUUAAGGCGAAGGCGUCUCCUUAUGUAACAACUGACGUUG